UGGCAAAUGGGGGUGUUAAACUGCUCGGAAACUAUAAGUAAUGCUUUUGCUCUUCAGACUUGAUGAGGUUGUAUAUCCCCUUUGAAACUGGUAUAGUAAGCCUAAGUACGUU
rfam:Gossypium raimondii Chr13_contig_1047, whole genome shotgun sequence.